rnacentral:misc_RNA from 1 species
GUGAAUCUGUUGGUGGGCGAGAUUACGGUAAUGGAAUUAUUAGCUCAACCAACCAGGGUCUCAAGACUGAUGGGUUUGAGCUCAGGGGCCAGUCAUGGUAUGUGGCAAGUGAUAUUCCUAGUGAUCUUUCAGUUCAGAUUGGAGAUGUAAAUUUCCACUUGCAUAAGUAUCCGCUGCUUUCUCGGAGUGGAAAGAUGAAUAGACUAAUAUAUGAAUCACGCG